rnacentral:rRNA from 1 species
GAUGAACGCUGGCGGCGUGCCUAAUACAUGCAAGUCGAGCGAAGCGGGGACGGGUGAGUAACACGUGGAGAACUUCCUAUAAGACUGGGAUAACUUCGGGAAACCGGAGCUAAACCGGAUAUUUAUAGAUGGAGCCUCGCUGCAUUAGCUAGUUGGUAAGGUAACUGCUUACCAAGGAAAUGAUGCAUAGCCGACCUGAGAGGGUGAUCGUCCAACAUGGAACUGAGACACGGUCCAGACUCCUACGGUAGGCAGCAGUAGGGAAUCUUCCGCAAUGGGCGAAAGCCUAACGGGGAAACGCGGCGUGAUUGAUGAGGGUCUUGGGAUCGUAAGACUCUGUGAUUAGGGAGACGGUACCUAAUCAGAAAGCCACGGCUAACUACGUGCCAGCAGCCGCGGUAAUUC